CAGGCGCAGGUUCAAAAUAACAGCUUCAAUAAGAUCAUGUAGAAGAUGAACUCAGAUGGGAUCACAAUACUUACUUCAGAUGAAGUUUCAAAUCACAAGCACUUGGUUUCAUGAAGGUUGGCAUUGGCCAAAUACUUUUGCAUAGGGAGUGUUGCCUAAUUCUAAGUCCAACGUCUCGGAGUAAUCCAACAGUCCACACAAAU
rnacentral:lncRNA from 1 species